UACGUAGGUGACAAGCGUUGUCCGGAUUUACUGGGCGUAAAGAGCGCGCAGGCGGUCGUUCAAGUCGAGUGUGAAAGCCCCCGGCUCAACUGGGGAGGGUCAUUCGAUACUGAUCGACUCGAAGGCAGGAGAGGGUAGUGGAAUUCCCGGUGUAGUGGUGAAAUGCGUAGAUAUCUGGAGGAAUACCGGUGGCGAAGGCGGCAUCCUGGACCGGCAUUGACGCUGAGGAGCGAAAGCCAGGGGAGCAAAGCGGG
rnacentral:rRNA from 1 species